AUAUUCCAGAGCUAUCACAUUCUGUUACUGGGAGCUCAUCUUGUUCUUUCUGAAAAUCAAAUUUAAAUUAAGGAAAAAUUGAAAAGCCUGCAUAUGUUUCCUGACUAGGUCAGCAACAUGGCAGAGACUGCACUUGCUCAAAGCCUGAAGGACGUUGGGAGGUGGAGUGAAGAGGCCAUCCCGCUUCUCAGACACGCCAUUGAUGAUGAGCGAUCAGCUCUAGAGACCACAUGUGAAGGUUUCUUGAGUAACACAGAGAAGUGGAGGAAAAUGGCAGAGCUCAUCCUAUGGCAGAGGUGGAAGAAGGAGCCCGGUGCCACGUGACCAGUGCCCUGGCUUGCAGAAGGAGUGUGAAACAAGUGAGUUAAGGUGGGAAUGAGUACUUCUUUCUUUCUCCUCUUCCGCCAUGAAAUAGCAACUUCUAAAAAAGGGGUGCUGCAGAUGGUGAAGUCUUAAAUUACCACGGUGAGCUUUGCCGGAGGGCGUCUCUGGUCCCCUUAGAUGGAGCCCGUCUGCAGCUGAUUCACAGAAGGUCACGUUUGCCUGUCCUGCCCUACUCCUGAGCUUACUCAUGUAGUCAGCGCGGCUGACAGGGAUGAAAGAGCGGAACUGCUUGAACACAUUUGAUAUGGCUCUAGACAGGCAGACUGAUUUGCAAACUCAAAGCACAGGAGAGACUGAGAGCGAUUGCAGCGGAUUACUAAUUAGCUCGGAAACACAGAGGCGAGGCGUGAGGGAGGAACGUGGCUGCAGCUGAGUGGUAUCAACACAACAACAUCGCAAAAGCUUUUCUCAGCUGACAAUAAAGAAGAUUUUGCAAAAUCCAAACCUCACCAAACAAGUCACUGGCAAGCAGGUUAGAAACGAACCGGAACUGCAAACAGUGACAACAUCAUCUCAGAGUGCUUCUCUGCAUUAUAAAAGAGAAAUUAAGCAAGGUACAGAAAGGAAGGAGAAUGCAUUUCGAUGCCUUCAGCAUGCGGCUUGGAAGCAAGAUCAGAUCAACACUGGAGUUCAUGAAGAUUUCAUUACAUUCGAUAUCUGUAGUCCCAAUUGGAUACAGCACCCCCAGGCCAGCUGGGAGCAACUGAGGGCAUGAUGGUACCCCAAGUACCUCACCACUGUCCAUCACUUAAUAAGCUCAAGUUAAGAACUUUGAAGUUCUUGGUCCCUCUCUAAGUAAGAGAGGAAAACUGCAUCAAGAGGUGCUGUUAGCUUUGUCCCCAUGGUCAUUUUUCCUGGUAGCAACAGCAGCAUAAGCAGAAAUCACAUCCUUUUUCCCCAUCCCAUCCCAUGGAGAGCUAUAUGGUGAAAUGGAUUGGGGCCACUAUCUAGGUUAAAAGAAGCUCUCCUGAAACAAAACCAACCAAACUACCAAACAAAAUCUGCAGAUAUUGGAUAAACCUAAUCAGAGUAGUGGAGGGAACAAGCAGUGCCCUGACAAUGGGAUCAUUUUUUCUCUGGAGAAAUAAACCAUCCUCAUGAGUUUCUGUUAAGAAUAGAGAGGUGAAUUGAAACAUUCUGGAGAACUCUGACAGAUUUCUCAGGGGCUGGGAAAGUCUGAAGGGCAGCAUGAACUGACACCAGAGAGAGAAAGAAAAAGCACAUAAGUCACAAAUUCAUAGUAAAUCUAUGAGAAAUAGAAUGACCUCCACUCUUCUUCCCUUACCUAUCAUUCUUAGAAGGAGAGAGGAAAAAAAGCAUUUUUACUACAUGACUUCAGAUCUUUUCCAACAGACACAACAGAAUAUAUUUUGUUGCCAUAAACCUACAGCCAUCAAUGCUUACCUUUGUCCCAGUGUGUUGCUUCCCUUACAGCACUGUACAAAAAUGACAUUAUAAGGACAAAGACACAGAAUUUAUUUAAUCACUUUAAUACAUUACUCUCCUAAUGAGGGGUGUUUCAGUGUGCCCAUACAAGAGUUUAAGGUGGAAAGCGUCCUUCGGUAAAUGUCUUCCUCUUUAUUCUCAUGUAUCUAUACAAGACUCCUAAGCUAGGCAUUAACGUAUAUGAAUAACCUCCCAUCGUGCUGUUUUGCUAUUGUCAUACAUGGCUGUACACACGCACAUUUUUGCCUCGUCAAACACGAUCUCAGCUUAGCUGUACUUGAUAAAUAUUGCCUAAAUUCUAUUUGAUAAAUGCUCCCUCUAAGAUCUUUCCUCUAUAGCGUGAAAAGUCAAUGCCCUAAUUUUAAGUUGCCCUUUGAAAGCAAGCCAAUAUUCAGAUGGAUAUCGACUCUGGGCCUGCUGGUUGUUCUGCAGCAGUAUUUGGAAGGCUGCUGUUUUAAUGAAUGUGCUAACAUUUGAUACACACACUAACAAAAUCAAUAGCACUAUUUUUAAAAAGCAUGUGGCUUUACUAAGUACACUGACACUACACUGUUGUGCAGAAGUUUACUAGAAACCUCCCUAUAUGACUAAAUUGAUGCAUCUGGCUCAUUUCUCUACUCGCUUGCCAGAAUGCAUAAUACCAGACUUCAAGGACAUUGAAAGUCAGCUUCUGCUGCAGAAAAAAGAAUGCUUGUUUAAGUUUGAAGUGAUGUGAUAGCCCGUACCUGGAACUCCACUGCAGUUGUCAAAUCUUCCUAUUUCUUCUCACUGUUGUCACAGAAGAGACAAAAGUUUUCCACAUCAGAAAUUCCUGGUUCUGUGGCUUCAGAAGAAACUUGGUGACUAUGGGCAGAGAAUAAAACGUAUUUAUAG
rnacentral:lncRNA from 7 species